rnacentral:lncRNA from 1 species
CUUUAAGAACAGGGCUAAACUCCUAUGUGCAUAUACUUAGUUGAGCAGGUUGCAAAGCAGCAAGUCGAUCUCCAACUUGCUCCCACUAAUAGCUGGAAUACUACAGACAAAUUGUAAACACACUACUUUCACAGCAGGGGUGUGCUAUUGCUGCUUUUACUUGCCAUAGGAGUUGGCACAAGUCACACACACACACACAGACACACACACACACAUAUACACCCACGCACGCACGCACACCCACGCACGCACACACACAGACAAACAGUUUCUUCUGCAGGUUUGAACUGCGAUCAAGAUGGGCAAUGAGCAUUCCAAAAACAAGGCUGAGCAGGCUCCAGAAAAGCCCCUGCAUGGAGGUUUGAAUGGCCAUGCUGUAAGCAUCUCAUCCAAUGGCCUGGAGAAUGUUACCAGUGAAGCAGCUGUGGAGCAGAACAGUAUGCCUACCUCACUGCCUCCCUCUGAAGAGUCAGGUAUAGUGGAGGCAGAUGGCAGUGGUCUUGGGCCUGUGGUGGUGGAACAGAAGUCUGCCGUCAAGAAGGUUCCAGAAGUGGAACCAGAGACACAGAAUGCUAAGACUCAAAACACAGCGGAACCGGAACUGGAACCAGCCACCCAAGAGAAGGAGGAGCCCAAGAACAGUACACAAGAAAAAGUGAACAUCUUUGAAAAUCUGUUCAAGAAGAAAGCUAAGCCUCAACCCACCCCCAACCCGGAUCCAGCCCUGGAAAAGGAGGAGCCCAUAAGGGAGAAGAUUGUGGAGGAGAUUGAAAGUUCUGCGGAAGAUCAGAAAGUCCCUGUGGCUGUGACCGAUGGGAUCCAAGCUGAGCCACUUGCUGAGGUAAAGGAGGAUACAGAGACUUCAAAGGAGCGUCCCAACCCUAGUCCAGAGGCAGAGGAGGUCAAAAGCCCCAAAAUUGCAGAGGAAAGCAGUCACAUUCAGGAAAACCAAGAGGGAGAGAGUCAAACAGAAGAUAAUCCAGUUAUGAACUUCUUCAAAACACUAGUUAUUGUCCUGCUGAAAGGAGAAUUCAUCUCCCUGUGUCUGGUGGAAAGCUGACUGAACCAGGUUUCGUCUAGGAUUUUGCCUGUGCUUACCUCCAUUCCAUUUUUUAUCUUGAUAAACUCCCCAGUCCUUAACGAUUACACACACACCCAUAAGAUGAUGCAUCCACCACUAUGCUUGAAACUAUGGAGUUGUCACGUCCUGAUCAGUAAAGGGGUUAUUUGUUAUUAUAGUUUGGUCAGAACGUGGCAGGGGGUAUUUGUUUGAUAUGGUUUUGAGUGUGUGUUUAUGUAGAGGGUCGUUUUAUUUAUGUUUCUGGGGUUUUUGGUUUAGUUCUAUGUUGUACAGUUCUAUGUCUGUUUCUAGGGUGUUUAUUUCUAUGUUUAGUAUUUGGGAUUGGGGCCUUCAAUUGGAGGCAGCUGGUUAUCGUUGCCUCUGAUUGAAGGUCCUAUAAUUAGGAGUUUGUUUGUUUUGGGGAUUGUGGGAGAUUGUUCUUUGUACUGCUGUGUGAGCAGACAAGGCUGUGUGUGU